rnacentral:rRNA from 1 species
UUUAAAUUUUUUUUUCUGCUCAGAUUGAACGCUGGCGGCAGGCCUAACACAUGCAAGUCGAGCGGUAGCACAGAGAGCUUGCUCUCGGGUGACGAGCGGCGGACGGGUGAGUAAUGUCUGGGAAACUGCCUGAUGGAGGGGGAUAACUACUGGAAACGGUAGCUAAUACCGCAUAAUGUCGCAAGACCAAAGUGGGGGACCUUCGGGCCUCAUGCCAUCAGAUGUGCCCAGAUGGGAUUAGCUAGUAGGUGGGGUAACGGCUCACCUAGGCGACGAUCCCUAGCUGGUCUGAGAGGAUGACCAGCCACACUGGAACUGAGACACGGUCCAGACUCCUACGGGAGGCAGCAGUGGGGAAUAUUGCACAAUGGGCGCAAGCCUGAUGCAGCCAUGCCGCGUGUGUGAAGAAGGCCUUCGGGUUGUAAAGCACUUUCAGCGGGGAGGAAGGCGGUGAGGUUAAUAACCUUGUCGAUUGACGUUACCCGCAGAAGAAGCACCGGCUAACUCCGUGCCAGCAGCCGCGGUAAUACGGAGGGUGCAAGCGUUAAUCGGAAUUACUGGGCGUAAAGCGCACGCAGGCGGUCUGUCAAGUCGGAUGUGAAAUCCCCGGGCUCAACCUGGGAACUGCAUUCGAAACUGGCAGGCUAGAGUCUUGUAGAGGGGGGUAGAAUUCCAGGUGUAGCGGUGAAAUGCGUAGAGAUCUGGAGGAAUACCGGUGGCGAAGGCGGCCCCCUGGACAAAGACUGACGCUCAGGUGCGAAAGCGUGGGGAGCAAACAGGAUUAGAUACCCUGGUAGUCCACGCCGUAAACGAAGUCGAUUUGGAGGUUGUGCCCUUGAGGCGUGGCUUCCGGAGCUAACGCGUUAAAUCGACCUCCA